rnacentral:tRNA from 11 species
GCGAAGGUGGCGGAAUUGGUAGACGCGCUAGCUUCAGGUGUUAGUGUCCUUAGGGACGUGGGGGUUCAAGUCCCCCCCCUCGCACCA